GUGAGGGGGCACAGCCAGCAGUGUACCAGCAGUGUGCCCUGCAUGCCAGCCAGCCCACAUGCAAACACUGCACUGUGUACAAGUGGUGCACCCCACACGCAAGUGUAGCCUACGUGUGUGUGGGCCUCAUGCACAAGUACGCCCCAUGUUAGUGUCCCCCAUGCACAGGUGUGCCCACAUGCGAGCAGUGCACCUGAAAGCACUUGCACAGGGCUGGUUCAGCUGGGGCAUGGCAGGCAGUUCAGCCUUGCCUAUGUGGAGCUAGUGAAGGGCUUGUUAUUGGCACCACAAGUCCUGGAGAGGGAGGCUGGAAGGUGCUAGAACAUUUCCUCAUCAGUCGCAGCAGCAGGAGGGUUCUUGGUCUUGCUUGUUCUGGGUCCUUGCUGUUGUGCCCUGAAAGUGUACACCAUUGCAGCUGAGCUAGCAGCAGACCGCCGUGAGAGGAGGUGUUCGUAUGGGCGGGGGGAUUACUCGCCCUUCCUGCUCGCCCUGCCUGCGCGAACCUCCGCGCUAACUGCCGCGCCCCUCCCUUCUGACGUGCCACACCCUGUUUGCUCGUGCUGGUCGCCGCGCUCCCUAGGGGCAGCUUGUGAACGGCCGGGGAGGGGACGCUGCUGGCUCCGCAUACGCCUCGUUCUCGCCUCAUUCGCCUCCCUCGCGAGGGCUGCCGGGUCUUGGCGGCUUCCUCGAGUGGGCUCGGUGGUGGAAAAAUUAGCCCUGCCUGUCCGAUCCGCCGUUCCGCUGCAGAACGCAUCUGCCCCGGAGCAGAUAGCCUCGGCAAGGAGAUCUGCUUGUAUUUUUAUCUGCUUGUAUUUAAAGUUUGAGUUAUUAAAGGAUAAUUAAAGGGUUGUAUUUGGAUUUUUUUAAAUUAAGUAUUGAUUAAAGCUCUUGUUUUUGGGUUGCUGAUGUGACUAUUCAUGAAUGAAUCCUGACUAUGUCUGUAACAUGUUCAUAAUAUCCGUAUAUGCUGGAAUGCAAACUCACUAAAUCUAGUUCCCCGAUUUCUCUGGAAACUUUUUAUUAAUAUUAAUAAUUAUACACUGCUCACUAGCCCCUUAUAAAUGGCAGCUUAACUGAAACUGCUGCAAUUCUGUGUGGCUUCAGAGCCUCUUGAAAAUCCCACUAGGCUUCUGUAACACACUCUGCCUUUCUGCAGUCUAUUUUGCUUUAGUCAAGUAAUACUAACAAUUAAUUUUGUGUGGCACUAACAGACAGGACAAGUGUUUCAUCACUCAAAAUAAAUUAGCAUGGAGGUAAAUACCAUCUGUAAAGUGUCCUGGCAUUCUUGUAAAUUACACACAACUACAGUGAUGUCUCCUCCUACGGCUAACCCCUCUCCAUACUUUACAUUUUUGACAGGAUGGAAUCAGAAGAAGGGAAUUAGCUGGACUCCCAAGGUUUUGUUCAAUGAUGCAAGAUCUGUUCCAGCCCUUAACUACAACAAUUAUUAUAAUGCUUAUUAGAAAUUCAAAAUCUUUUGCUAAAGACUUGUCAAGACUGUGCCACUGAAGAAAGUAUCUAUGAAACAGCCAAAGUGAAAAAUUAGUUUGAAAAGUAAAUUUAAUUGAUGAAGGAACACACAUUCUUCACUAAAUGUCAACACCUGAAAACUCCUAACAAUGUACAUGUGUACACAGUUAUGUAUAAUUAGUCAAUGAAGCUAUGAUUGAGGUUCUUUGACAAGGAAGAUAAUGCACUGUGACGCAUGAAUGGAAAUGAAGGUACAUGUAUGUUUUCAAUUAUGCUGUUAGCUGGUUUUAAUAUACACAGUCCAUAGGUUGAUCUCCAUAUGGAAUAAUUUAUUCCUUUAAUUAUUAAAGCUUUAUAAAUUA